rnacentral:misc_RNA from 1 species
GAGGACCUUCAGUUGUCUGUGGAGGUGGGUCAGCCCCAGCCGUGACGGAGGACCUUCACUUGUCGAUGGAGGUGGAUCACACACUAGCCGUGACGGAGGACCUUCAGUUUUCUGUGUAGGUGGGUCAGCCCUGGCCGUAACGGAGGACCUUCAGUUGUCUGUGGAGGUUGGUCAGCCCUGGCCGUAACGGAGGACCUUCAGUUGUCUGUGGAGGUGGGUCAGCCCUAGCCGUGACGGAGGACCUUCAGUUGUCCAUGGAGGUGGGUCACACACUAGCCGUAACGGAGGACCUUCAGUUGUCUGUGGAGGUGGGUCACACACUAGCCGUGACGGAGGACCUUCAGUUGUCCAUGGAGGUGGGUCACACACUAGCCGUGACGGAGGACCUUCAGUUGUCUGUGGAGGUGGGUCAGCCCUAGCCGUGACGGAGGACCUUCAGUUGUCCAUGGAGGUGGGUCAGCCCUUUGCCGUGACGGAGGGCCUUCAGUUGUCUGUGGAGGUGGGUCAGCCCUAGCCGUGACGGAGGACCUUCAGUUGUCUGUGGAGGUGGGUCAGCCCUAGCCGUGACGGAGGACCUUCAGUUGUCUGUGGAGGUGGGUCAGCCCUUUGCCGUGACGGAGGACCUUCAGUUGUCUGUGGAGGUGGGUCAGCCCUAGCCGUGACGGAGGACCUUCAGUUGUCCAUGGAGGUGGGUCAGCCCUUUGCCGUGACGGAGGGCCUUCAGUUGUCUGUGGAGGUGGGUCAGCCCUUUGCCGUGACGGAGGACCUUCAGUUGUCCAUGGAGGUGGGUCAGCCCCAGCCGUGACGGAGGACCUUCAGUUGUCUGUGUAGGUGGGUCAGCCCUGGCCGUAACGGAGGACCUUCAGUUGUCUGUGGAGGUGGGUCAGCCCUAGCCGUGACGGAGGACCUUCAGUUGUCUGUGGAGGUGGGUCAGCCCUAGCCGUGACGGAGGGCCUUCAGUUGUCUGUGGAGGUGGGUCAGCCCUAGCCGUGACGGAGGACCUUCAGUUGUCUGUGGAGGUGGGUCAGCCCUAGCCGUGACGGAGGACCUUCAUUUGUCUGUAGAGGUGGGUCAGCCCUAGCCGUGGCGGAGGACCUUCAGUUGUCUGUGGAGGUGGGUCAGCCCUGGCCGUGACGGAGGACCUUCAGUUGUCUGUGGAGGUGGGUCAGCCCUAGCCGUGACGGAGGACCAUCAGUUGUCUGUGAAGGUGGGUCACACACUAGCCGUUACGGAGGACCUUCAGUUGUCUGUGAAGAGGGUCGGACACUAGCCGUGACGGAGGACCUUCAGUUGUCCAUGGAGGUGGGUCACACGCUAGCCGUGACGGAGGGCCUUCAGUUGUCUGGAGGUGGGUCAGCCCUUUGCCGUGACGAAGGGCCUUCAGUUGCAUGUGGAGGUGGGUCACACACUAGCCGUUACGGAGGGCCUUCAGUUGUCUGUGAAGAGGGUCGGACACUAGCCGUGACGGAGGACCUUCAGUUGUCCAUGGAGGUGGGUCACACACUAGCCGUGACGGAGGGCCUUCAGUUGUCUGUGGAUGUGGGUCAGCCCUAGCCGUGACGGAGGGCCUUCAGUUGCCUGUGGAGGUGGGUCAGCCCUAGCCGUGACGGAGGACCUUCAGUUGUCCAUGGAGGUGGGUCACACACUAGCCGUGACGGAGGGCCUUCAGUUGUCUGUGGAGGUGGGUCAGCCCUAGCCGUGACGGAGGGCCUUCAGUUGCCUGUGGAGGUGGGUCACACACUAGCCGUGACGGAGGACCUUCAGUUGUCUGUGGAGGUGGGUCAGCUAGUCAGUCUUCAGUGAGUAUGUGAGGACCAUCUCGACCCAGCAUAUAUGGCAUUAUCUGAUGGACAUAAAGACCUUCUGAAAAGAAGCACUACCGACCAUGUUUUCAUUCUGUCGGCGAUGAGAUUAUCCCCGUAUUGUAUAAGACUCUGAUGAUGAAAGAUAUUAUUUGGGUCACAAUACAUAUUUCAUCGUUUUUUCACUUUUUUCGAAAAACAAGGCAGGUUGUUGAUGAAUAAUGUUUUGAAAGCCAUGAUUGAAAUUACAUGUAAUUAUCCACAGAUCUUUUUUCUCGCUCUUUUCCUGAGCCUUGUCAGACCCAUUGGGUUUAUCCAGUGCGCUUUGACAGCUAUGUUGUGUCUUACUCAAGUAACCCCUUGAAUUAAUUUGUUGUGGGUUUUGUUGUUAUAUAUUGUCUUCCUUCAUUUUACAAACUGUUCUUACGUUGUGCUGUUUACUGACAAGGUUGGUGAAUAUAGGGACUCUUUGGUCAGACCUGAUGUGUCUUGAUAUUGUUAUUCCCUAAAUCGACCAUACCAGGUGCUUCAGUACAAAAUAUGAACAAGUCACAUUCCAAUGCUUGUGGGAUCCCUAAAGCGGUAAACGCCCAAGGCAUGCAUCGAUUCACUUCGGGUUUUCCUCGCCACACCAAGCUGACACGCCUUGAAGUAACUGAAAUACUGACACCUAUGAUCUUGAGUUUGAAUACCGGUUCGCCCGAUUAUGUUUCUGAGUUUGUCAGCACCAUACCCGUGCUCGUAGGUUUCACCAAAGAGGUAAAUGUCUGAGACCUACAUUACUUCAGGCUUUCCUCCCACAUCAAGCUGACACGCCGUGAUAUAACUGGAAUACUGUUAAAAACAGUUCACUCUCUUUUACUAUUCAUAGCAGUUUUCAGUUUUCUAAAAUAUUUUGUGCCUGAAAAUACUUGAAUAUUUAUUGUCAGGUCCAACUCACUCACUGCCGUAGUCAUAUAUACAAGUAGGUGGUUCUUAAACAAAUCCCAAGGGUCGUCAAAUGGUGAAAACGUACUUAUAUACCUUCAACGUACUCAUAUACCUUCAACAUGAUCCAUUAUGGUGGCCGAGAGGGGACAUCGCUUUCUCGCCUUCAAUUACGGCCGCGAGGAUGCGAUAAAACGAGACGAGAAAGCGAUAGCAUGAGACGAGAAAGCAACAACGCUUUCUCGUCUCGUGUUAUCGCGUUCUCGCGAGAAAGCGAUGAAUCCUCUCGGCCACCAUAUUUCAUCCAAAAAGGACUAUGUGGUCCACGCAGAGGAAGCAUGUGUAGAGGGCCUCUUGUUUAACAUUUUAGGUACGAGUUCAAUCAAAUCUCAACCUCGAUCAAAACUUACAACUUACUUAGUAGCUUAUUGUUCCUAUAACUAACUGAUAUUUAGUGACUGGUAACUUCGUUUUGCGAUAAUACAACAUGCGUAAGUUAUCCUAUUGUCGGCGAUUUAGACUAAAAUCUAGUCUCUGAAAUGAACAUAUCUUACAUAAAAAAAACAGUUGUUCAGUUAUCUUAAUAAAAAUAUAAUAAAAAGGAGCCCAGUGACUCUUCAUUUUACUGCAGUGAUCUAGACUUGCCAAACAUUAUAGACUUGCAUGGGCUGUAUUUGAUAUAUAUUUGUAUCAGGGUCUGUAAGACAGACUAUUGGCGAUUGUGAUUGGGACAUUUGAUAAGGACAUCUGUAUCGUUCAAUGAUACAUCAAGUUAUUACUUAUAUGAAUAUAACAUCCGGAUUGACAGAUUUCACUAUUGCUAUAAAGGUUGAGCGGUAUAUAACGAAGCAACUCUGUGUACUGAUCUUUUAUACCACAUUAGCAGCAGGGCGUUACGUGUGGGUCUGUUGUAUAGAGCUACAUCACCCUAUACUUACACUUUGAGUCAUGUGUUCAUUCCUUGUAUGUACUGUUAUCAUGGUUAUCUAUGAUGUUGUCGGCAUUAAAUUUUAUCUAUCA